rfam:Planomicrobium sp. ES2 genome assembly, contig: CONTIG000001
GCCGGAGUAGCUCAACUGGUAGAGCAACUGACUUGUAAUCAGUAGGUUGAGGGUUCAAGUCCUUUCUCCGGCA